rnacentral:rRNA from 1 species
UACAGAGGUCGCAAGCGUUGUUCGGAAUUAUUGGGCGUAAAGGGUGCGCAGGUGGCGCCGUAAGUGGGGUGUGAAAUCCCGGGGCUUAACCCCGGGACUGCAUUCCAUACUGCGGUGCUUGAGGACUGGAGAGGAGACUGGAAUUUACGGUGUAGCAGUGAAAUGCGUAGAGAUCGUAAGGAAGACCAGUGGCGAAGGCGGGUCUCUGGACAGUUCCUGACACUGAGGCACGAAAGCGAGGGGAGCAAACGGG